rnacentral:precursor_RNA from 1 species
ACCCAUGAAGCUCAGGAUGGAUAACGUCAUAAACAUUCCGUUGAAUAAAAGAUCUGUUUAUGACGCUAUCCCUCCUGAGCUUCCUGGA